AUCGCCGCCCAGAAUAUCCACAGAGGGCGGUGAUGCUGUUUGGGGGUCUUUCCACUUCGGGUAGAGUGGCGCUACAUCUCAGAUCGCUGCAAUGUUGCUAUUCAAACCAGUACGGUGUAAAAACAGCAGGGCGAAACUUUGAAAAACACAUACUACGCUGUCACGUGUUGUUGAUCUAACACAAAAAUGCCAUCAGAAUAAAACUUAAAAGAAUGAAAUAUUGGUUGCAGUAAAUUGCAAGUACCAAAAUGGCCGCUUCGGAUUGGCCAGACUAUUCAUCACACAUCUUUUUGCUAUGUAUAUCAGUUUAUGGCGGGGCGAUUUGGUGUGAUAUCACGUAACUGUGACAUGGGACAUGUCAUCAACUGGUUCAAUAUUUACAUUUUCUUAUCUAUAGCAAUAAGAGAGUGAAAUGCGAUAAUUAAAUCCACAAUCAUAUUUCGGAACUUUGCCGUUUCGCUCCUGUUACACCUAACCAACCCAAACUUUUAAAACGUAUUGCAGACCCCUUUAAUAAGCGUGACAUGAGCAAAGAACGGCCAUAACUCAAAGUUCCAGGUCAGUUCCUUCGUUCAUCCACCCAAUUUAUGAGCCAUCUUUUUUCAAUACGGUUUCGUCGGCGCUCUACGCCAAUCCUGACAGCAUCGAUCGUAUGGCAGGAACUCGUCCUGGAUGGGACGCCGCCAUUCAUAACAAGACAUAAUGACAACGAAAGCAUCCUCGAAGAAAUGCGUGACUUUUGGAAGCGGGGGAAUUCGUUCAGGGCAACGUCGGAUCUGAAAUCUCUGGGCAUCGACAUAUGGCAGGUUCAGCUAUAGUGAAGAAGACCAUAACCUGGAAGAAGAUCCAUAACUUGCCUCAGAGUCUGCAUCUAGCCUGCUGCUUAAAAUGGAAUAAAGCGUCUCCAUCACGCCAUCAGUUAUGAUGUGACCAGUGAGGAAGAUUUACUGGUGUUGGCCAGACUCCCUUAUUUUUUUCCAUUUUUAACUUUUCCCAAUGGCUGAGGUUAGCUGAGGUUCCCCAAUUUUGGCUUAAAUUGUCUCUUUCUUGUUACUCAGGACAUGAUCUGAUGUUUUCAAGUACAUUCACCUGUUAGGUUUAUUGGGUCAUCAUUGUCUUUCUUUUUUAAUUUAUUUUUAUUGAUUUUAAUUAGAAACAGAUAACAUUCCAUACAGUCAAGAUAAAUUUAACAAAUCAAAGCGAAAUUUGAAGAGUGGGGAACCACCAACCAUAGCUACUCUAUAAAAAGAACAAGAAAAGAAGGGUAUCCUUUUCCCCGAAAUGAAAACUUAUUCUAAAAUGUUAUUGAUUAGAUCCUGCCAUAUUUUAAAAAAGUUUUGAAUAGAUCCUUUACGUGAGAUUCUGAUUUUUUUUCCAGUUUCAUGUAGUAUAGAACAUUGGUUGCCCCCUGACUUAAGAGUGGUGGGGUGGGAUUUUUCCAGUUGAGCAAGAUAAGUGUAAGAGCUAGUAGUGUAGUAAAGGAAAUUACAGCUACUUUUCCCUUCUCCACUUUACGUCCAUCACAGCUGUUAAUGGGUUAGGAGUGAUUGUGACACCAAGACUGUCUGAAAGGCAUGCAAAGAGUUUG